GGUAGGGUGGCCGAGCGGUCUAAGGCGCUGGUUUUAGGCACCAGUCUCUUCGGAGGCGUGGGUUCGAAUCCCACCCCUGCCA
rnacentral:tRNA from 1 species